rnacentral:rRNA from 1 species
GACGUAGGGUGCAAGCGUUGUCCGGAUUUAUUGGGCGUAAAGAGCUCGUAGGCGGCUUGUUGCGUCGACUGUGAAAACCCGCGGCUUAACCGCGGGCUUGCAGUUGAUACGGGCAGGCUAGAGUUCGGUAGGGGGAGACGUGAAUUCCUGGUGUAGCGGUGAAAUGCGCAGAUAUCAGGAGGAACACCGGUGGCGAAGGCGGGUCUCUGGGCCGAUACUGACGCUGAGGAGCGAAAGCGUGGGGAGCGAACAGG